CAGUCGCCGCGGGAAUACGUAGGUCCCGAGCGUUGUCCGGAUUUAUUGGGCGUAAAGCGAGCGCAGGCGGUUAGAUAAGUCUGAAGUUAAAGGCUGUGGCUUAACCAUAGUACGCUUUGGAAACUGUUUAACUUGAGUGCAAGAGGGGAGAGUGGAAUUCCAUGUGUAGUGGUGAAAUGCGUAGAUAUAUGGAGGAACACCAGUGGCGAAGGCGGCUCUCUGGUCUGUAACUGACGCUGAGGCUCGAAAGCGUGGGGAGCAAACAGGAUUAGAGACCCCAGUAGUCCCUGUCUCUUAUACA
rnacentral:rRNA from 1 species